GUGAAAAGGGAUCAUUGUUCGCCUGUGGCCUGUUGAGAGCUACCUGUGUGAGGGAAGCAUUCGAGGGCACAGAAAGUCCUUUCAUCAAGGCUUAGGCCUGAGGCCUCAGGUCUGAAGAGAGUCUGGCCGACAUUCUCCUCUCGUCACACCCCUCGCUCGGACCAGCCGGGCCUGCGCCGUUGGCAGCAUCCUCCUGUACCCGGGGGCCAUCUGGGCGCCAGAGCCAUGCCUUGUCUGCGCCUGCCAGACGGGGGGGACGGCCGUCUGCGAGCGGACCGAGUGCCUGGAGGUCAGCUGUGCGGGAGCACACGUCCCGCCGGGGCGGUGUUGUCCCGUGUGUCCAGUGACUGGUGAACCAGGCGGAUCCCGGAUCGCUGGUGUGGACUCCGCGGACAAACGCGGCAGGAACGGGGGCCGGAAGCUGAGUGGGGCCCGAGUGGAGGGCG